CCCCCCCCCCCCCCCCCCAACAAGGCUUGCCUCACGACGGCCCUGUUUUUCAAUCGUGUUUUUUAAAUCCUUGAAAAUUUGAUUGCAAUUCCUGUACUUUGAAUGGAACCUUUAGAAAAAGGUUCAUUCCCAAGUCAAAUCUUAUUGCUACCACCUGAUGAACUAAGAUUACCCCCUAAUGUCAUGGACAGUUCCGCUUUCUUUGUUCGGCGUGCAAAGUCUCGUAUCCCAUGAGCCUCACUCUGGUCCUUAUAAAAACAAACCUGACGUCAUUUCGAGCACAGUUCAGUGCCUGAAUCUUGUGUUACCAAGAAACACUCGUUUAGAGGGAAUUGGAAUGUACCCAAGUGGGAAAGAACUUAACCAAAAGUAAAGGUAAUCGUUUAGCCCGAAGAAGAAGCAAGCAAAAGCCAAGACUACAUUUGAAACUCAAAGAAAGAAGGGGACGGCCGGAUAAAAAAUGAAGCUUUCAAAAUUGAUGUUUUGGAGGCACAAAGCACAGAAGAAAGAAUCCAAAAAAGCUAGAUCAUCUUCAUUCUCUUGUGUUGGCUCUAAAAAAGGGGGAAAAAUAGAUGAAGACCAAAGGAAAAAACUUAUGCGUUCAAAGUCUGUGGGACACAAAACCUCAAGAAGCAAUUCAUUUAUCCAUUGGUUCAAGACUGUAAGGGAAUGUGGUAAUACAUUAAAACUAAUUGGAGACACGUUGGAGAAUGAUCAUUCACGAGCCAACAGUAGCAACUCUUUAUAUAUUGGUAUUAAAGAUAUCAAACAGAGGUAAAAUAUAGCUGAGAAGUUAUCAAGUCUGGUUAUUUGAACAUAGGCCAGUAUACUAUGGACAAUAUGUACUACAUUAGUGCAUAUGUAGUCUGUGUAUACUUGAUGACAUGACUCCUUGCUGUAUGGAACAGGAAGUGUGUACUUAUGAUCUAUGUAUUGCAUUGGUUUAAAGAGGAAAAGCAUGGUUUAAAGAGAACAGAAACUGAUUAAUUGUUUUAAGAGAGCAAGGCUUUCUUCAGAAGUAUUUUAGGAUCUCAUAUUUUUGUUUUAGAGAGUUCAUUAGAUGUGUCAUUUUGUCUAUUUAUUUCAAAUUUGGUUAAUAUUCUACAUAACAUUGAAGGUUAAAUUACAGAAAAGUGAUGUUAUAAAUGUUGUUUAAUUAUUGGUAGAUGUCAAAUUAAUGUUAAGUAAAUUUGUUAAACAUGUUGGAUUGGAACAUGAGCUCUUUUAUGCCACUUGAGAUGAGGAUUCAAGUAUUUUAUCUUACGAUCAAGAGACUACAUCCAAUUACAGAAAGUCCCACUUUAUAGGUUGUGCAUUUAAAGUUAGAUUAGCAGUGUAUCUCACAAGAUUGCUAUUUGAUUGUACUCAUUUUCUGACUAAAUUGAACUGCUCUCAAAGAAUACUUGCCAUGUGUUGCUCCAUUGGGGCACUUCCAAUCAACUUGCCAAAUAAAAUGCCUAAAAUAAGAUUGAGCUCAUUUGAAGAAAGAUACUUAAUAACUCAUGAAAUGAAAUUUUGGGGGUUCGAUCAUCUUUUUGGCCUAGAAAUGUAUUUUUUUCUUUUGCAUAUUAAUUCACAAAGAUUAACUAAUUGAUUGUUAAUCCUGAAAUAAUUUGUCAGUGAAGAGGUUGUUAAUGUGAAAUCUGUUAUGUCCAGAAACUAAUUUAUGUUAAUUAAAUACUUAGCAACUA